UACGUAGGCAGCGAGCGUUGUUCGGAAUUACUGGGCGUAAAGAGUGUGUAGGCGGUGCUCUAAGUUCGGUGUGAAAUCUCCUGCUUAACUGGGAGGGUGCGCCGGAAACUGGAGUGCUUGAGCGUGGGAGAGGAAAGCGGAAUUCCUGGUGUAGCGGUGAAAUGCGUAGAUAUCAGGAGGAACACCUGCGGUGUAGACGGCUUUCUGGACCAUGGCUGACGCUGAGACACGAAAGCGUGGGUAGCAAACAGG
rnacentral:rRNA from 1 species